rnacentral:rRNA from 1 species
AUACGGAGGGUGCAAGCGUUAUUCGGAAUCACUGGGCGUAAAGGACGCGUAGGCGGGUUGGCAAGUCAGAUGUGAAAUCCUACAGCUUAACUGUAGAACUGCAUUCGAAACUGCUAACCUAGAGUAUGGGAGGGGGAGAUGGAAUUAGUGGUGUAGGGGUAAAAUCCGUAGAUAUCUCUAGGAAUACCGAAAGCGAAGGCGAUCUCCUGGAACAUAACUGACGCUAAGGCGUGAAAGCGUGGGGAGCAAACAGGAUUAGAAACCCUAGUAGUCC